UACGAAGGGGGCUAGCGUUGCUCGGAAUCACUGGGCGUAAAGCGCACGUAGGCGGUUUCUUAAGUCAGGGGUGAAAUCCUGGAGCUCAACUCCAGAACUGCCUUUGAUACUGGGAGACUUCGAGUCCGGGAGAGGUGAGUGGAACUGCGAGUGUAGAGGUGAAAUUCGUAGAUAUUCGCAAGAAUACCAGUGGCGAAGGCGGCUCACUGGCCCGGUACUGACGCUGAGGUGCGAAAGCGUGGGUAGCAAACAGG
rnacentral:rRNA from 1 species